rnacentral:lncRNA from 1 species
ACAUGAUAAUUAGUUUGGAGAACAGAGAGAAUUGAAUACAUGCAACUCGAGUAAAUAAUCAGGCCAUUUUUCCCUUGAAUGGGGACAAAGGAUUUACCUCUACUCCAGCAGGCUUUAUUUGACCAAGAGCUUUUGCUGCACCUAAAACAGCUGCAGACCCUCCCAUGUCAAACUUCAUAAGCUCAAUCGAACAACCAGGUCCAGUCUUGAUGUUGUAGCCACCACUGGGAACACGAAAAAAUAUUGUUCAAUAAAUCAUCUACAAAAAAGGUUAGCAACAAUAAAAGUUGCUGCAGACCCUCCCAUGUCAAACUUCAUAAGCUCAAUCGAACAACCAGGUCCGGUCUUGAUGUUGUAGCCACCACUGGGAACACGAAAAAUAUAGUUCAAUAAAUCAUACACAAAAAAAGGUAGCAAUAAUAAAAGUUCAGAAAUCCAUCUUUUUAUUAUUCAAACAUGCGGUCAUCUCAUUUUAGAGAAGAUAUAAUUACCUGUCAAAAGUCAAUCCCUUUCCAACCAAUGCUAACUUUUUUUUGAUUUCCCCACCAGUAGGCUUAUAACAUAAAUGGAUGAAAUGA